rnacentral:rRNA from 1 species
AGACGAACCGUGCGAACGUUAUUCGGAAUCACUGGGCUUAAAGAGCGCGUAGGCGGCGUCGUAAGUUAGAGGUGAAAUCCCAUCGGCUCAACCGUGGAACUGCCCCUGAUACUGCGAUGCUCGAGGGAGGUAGGGGCAUGUGGAACUUCCGGUGGAGCGGUGAAAUGUGUUGAGAUCGGAAGGAACGCCAGUGGCGAAAGCGACAUGCUGGAACUUUUCUGACGCUGAGGCGCGAAAGCUAGGGGAGCGAACGGGAUUAGAAACCCCAGUAGUCC